GGGGCUAUAGCUCAGCUGGGAGAGCGCUACAAUGGCAUUGUAGAGGUCGCCGGUUCGAUCCCGGCUAGCUCCACCA
rnacentral:tRNA from 3 species